GGGCCACACCGGCAGCAUAUAGAAGUUCCCAGGCUAGGGGCUGAAUUGGGGCUGCAGUUGCCAGCCUACACCACCGUCACAGCAAUGCUGUGUUGCACACAGCUCACAGCAGUGCUGGAUCCUUAACCCACUGAGCAGGACCAGGGAUCAAACCCACUAGUCAGGGCCAUAACCCACUGAGCCGCAAUGGAAACUCCCAUUAGUGAGAGUUCUUGAUGCAAAUUUUUCUUUUUAACACACCGUGUGUAACUUUAGGUAAUAAUUGAAAUGAAAUUAAAAUGUAUAUAGCAAGCGAAGUUCAAAUUAAAUGAAAGGUAAGUUGGGACUUUUCAUUACUUCUCAUCUGACCCCAUUCCUUAUGCCUCACAUAAUUUCAUGAUUUAUAUGCCAAAGGACUUCCUCUCUCUCUGGGCCCCUCCAUAGCCCAUAUACUUGAUAUUAGUCUUAUAUUAUUUGGAAGCUAACCAGAGAACUAAGGGAGCAAAAUGGAGUUUAGUAGCCACUAGCAUAAACAUAAGACAAAAUAUUUGGAUGGAUGCUUAUGAAACAAGUUUUUUAUACUUUCCAAACUAGAUAAGAGGCUGAACAGGCUGAAGGAGGGAAGAGGCGGAACCACAUGAGCCGCAGGCAGAGUUCGAGAAAUGUCAUCAUCUGCCAAAAUAAGCACCAUCCACUGCCAAUGCCAGGAUCUCUGUGGAUGCCAUCUCAGAACAUUGCUCACUGUUUAUAGUCUAACACUGUAUAUGUAUAAAUUAAUCACAAUAUAUGACAUGGGUAUUUUUACCCAGAAAAAAAUAACAGUGAUGAUGAUAAUAAUCAUCAUGAUAGUAAACACUAAUUGGGCAGAGCACUGACUAUCUGCCUAGCACUAGGUUAAACGAUUUAUCUAAAUUAUCUUAUUUAUUCUUCACAAUACUCUUAUGUAUUAGUCAGCUAUUGCUGCAAUAAUGCUUUGUAACAAGCUAUCCCCACAACUGGUACCUUAUAGCAACAAGCAUUUCUUCUUUCUCAUUCCUCUGCAGGCCAGCUGUGGUUUGGGUGAAAUAAGGUGUGCUCUACUGCAUAGAUCUGCUUCAAGUUGUGGGCAAGGGAGACUGCUCCAGGGUGCAUUUAGGUUAGACAUGCUCCAUAUGUGUCUCAUUAUUUUGGGAAGAACAGCUACCAGGGCAUGUUAUUCUCAUGAUGAUGGUAGGAGGACAAGAGGGCAAGUGAAAACACAUCCAUAAAAAAGAAUGAAAUAAUUCCAUUUGCAGCAACUUGGAUGCAGCUAGAGAUUCUCAUACUAAGUGAGGUAAGUCAGAAAGAGAAAGACAAAUACCAUAUCAUAUCACGUAUAUGUGGAAUCUAAAAAACAGCAAAAAUGGGGAGUUCCUGUCAAUGCACAGUGGAAAUGAAUCCGACUAGGAACCAUGAGGUUUCAGGUUUGAUCCCUGGCCUCGCUCAGUGGAUUAAGGAUUCGGCAUUGCCGUGAGCUGUGGUGUAGGUCACAGAUGCAGCUCAGAUCUGAUGUUGCUGUGGCUGUGAUGUAGGCUAGCAGCUGUGGCUCCAAUUGGACCCCUAGCCUGGGAGC
rnacentral:lncRNA from 1 species